rnacentral:rRNA from 1 species
UACAGGGGUCUCAAGCGUUGUUCGGAUUCAUUGGGCGUAAAGGGUGCGUAGGUGGCGCCGUAAGUGGGGUGUGAAAUUUCGGAGCUUAACUCCGAAACUGCAUUCCAUACUGCGGUGCUUGAGGACUGGAGAGGAGACUGGAAUUUACGGUGUAGCAGUGAAAUGCGUAGAGAUCGUAAGGAAGACCAGUGGCGAAGGCGGGUCUCUGGACAGUUCCUGACACUGAGGCACGAAGGCCAGGGGAGCAAACGGG